AACGCACCUUGCGCCCUCUGGUAUUCCGGAGGGCAUGCCUGUUUGAGUGUCAUGAACACCUCACCCCCUCGGGUUUCCGAUCGGGUGGAUUUGGGUGCUGCCAGUUACAUGGCUCGCCUUAAAAGCAUUAGCGGUUGUAGACUUAAUAAGUUUCGUCUUGUCGACCGCUUCUAAUCUCCUUCGGGAUGUCUUCGGACACUUCAUGAUCUGACCUCAAAUCAGGUAGGACUACCCGCUGAACUUAA
rnacentral:misc_RNA from 2 species